GAUGAACGCUGGCGGCGUGCCUAAUACAUGCAAGUCGAGCGAACAGACGAGGAGCUUGCUCCUCUGACGUUAGCGGCGGACGGGUGAGUAACACGUGGAUAACCUACCUAUAAGACUGGGAUAACUUCGGGAAACCGGAGCUAAUACCGGAUAAUAUAUUGAACCGCAUGGUUCAAUAGUGAAAGACGGUUUUGCUGUCACUUAUAGAUGGAUCCGCGCCGCAUUAGCUAGUUGGUAAGGUAACGGCUUACCAAGGCAACGAUGCGUAGCCGACCUGAGAGGGUGAUCAGCCACACUGGAACUGGGACACGGUCCAGACUCCUACGGGAGGCAGCAGUAGGGAAUCUUCCGCAAUGGGCGAAAGCCUGACGGAGCAACGCCGCGUGAGUGAUGAAGGUCUUCGGAUCGUAAAACUCUGUUAUUAGGGAAGAACAAAUGUGUAAGUAACUAUGCACGUCUUGACGGUACCUAAUCAGAAAGCCACGGCUAACUACGUG
rnacentral:rRNA from 1 species